CCAUUCUAUUAAAAAAAAUAAUAAAUAAAUGCUAAACAUAAACAUGCACCAAAAUGAGGCACAAAGAGAAGACACAUAUAUUACCUCAAAAGGGAUACCAUACAAGAUCAAGUAUAUUUAGUUAACAAGCAGAAUUACAGACAAGAUGGAGCGCUUACAUGGAAGCAGAAUCACUACAAAAUAACACCAUCCAUCAAAUCAAAAUCACGUAGUAAGAAGAGAAGGGUUGGCAGUCGCAGUACCCCCUUGGGCUUCGAGGACCUCUAGACAUCGCUCCAGCGUAUCAAGCACCAAUUUACUCUUGGUAGUAGCCUCAAAUUGGAGGAGGAAUUCGAAGAGGCGACGAACAUUGAGGAAAAUGUGAGAGAUGAAUUCGUGAUUUUCCCAAUCGGCUUGCACUGCUAUCCCUACAUUGACAGCGUUUGUAAUCCCGCUCUUGCCAUUCUUUCUCUCCCUGUUUCGAUCUUCAGAGACCUAAAGCAAGAACUGCUGGCUUCUGCCACUGUCGACUGGUUUGUUGGUCGGUUGACUUUUUUAUUCGAUAAAUAAUUAUACAAUAGCUUAGAGGGAACUAAAGAGUGCUUAAUUAUGGUGCAAAAUCCAAAUUAAGCUAAUAUCCAUUUGGCCAAAUAUUAUAAAAAGAUAUUUUUGUGUCCAUUCUAGAAUCAUACUAAUCCCUUUAUUUGCCUUCUCUAGAGAUCGAAUCUAAAAACUCCCAGGAUUUAUAGACUCAUUUCUGCAUUGUGAAUUAGAUUUGAAUCGAAAUCGGACUUAAAUUGAAAGUUCAAACUAUCAGUUUUGACUCCGUUCAAACUUUUUUUGUUAAAAAAAAUGGCAGCUUUUGAGAGCGCCACAUAGAGCAAACUGUUUUCGAACCGAAAUCAUUAAAAAUCAAAAUUAGAACCGCAAUUUGAAUCGGAUAGAAACUGAACUGGUUUAAUCCGGUUUUUCAACCACGUGAGAGCACCAGCAAGACAUUAAAAGUUAUUUCAUGUAACAAAAAACCAAAAGUCAGAAGGACCGACCAAUAAAAGCAGAUAUCAAAGGGGAAAGCAAUUAGUUGUUAUUUUCAAGAUCUGGCACAUUUAAAAUCUACCAAUUGAACCAAACAAGGGAUUGAACAAUUCUCUUUGAAUUUAGCCCAUGAUCAUCAGUGCACAGCAUUUGAAGGCCUAAUGAACAUGCCCGCAUAUCAUUUAGAAUCGAUAUACACCGAGAGAAUACAGAUGAACAGUAUUAAGUUAUGCUGAGGCUGUAACUGAUGAUAAACCAUUAUGUCGAAGCAGGGCCUCUGGUGAUGGUUCCCGUCCGCGGAAUUCUACAAAAACCUUUAAUGGUGCUUUGCCACCUCCAAGAGCAAGAAUGGUCUCCCGGAACUUGCGUCCUAUUUCCUUGACAGCCUUGCUGUCAUCCAAUCCAGCAUCCUCAAAAGCUGAGAAAGCAUCUGCGGAUAGUACCUCCGCCCACUGCAAUUAAGAAUCAUUAUUUUGGAUGCAACAAACAAUAAAAAAAAAAGGGGGGGUUGGGGAAAGGUAGAAACGCAAGAAAAUAAACUAUGCCAACAAUUCUUCUUCUUCUUCAAGAGGAAGAAUAAACUCAAGCUGGGUUGUGUUUGCUCUAAAGAGCUAAAUAUUGAGUUACGCAUAUGAUGAACCUUCGAUAGUGCCUCAUUUAAUUAUGGAUGAAGCUACAGGUAUUUUGGAUCUAAAGAAUAUUAUUACCUUAUAACUGUAGUAUCCAGCUGCAUAUCCACCUGCAAAAAUAUGGCUAAAACUACAAAGAAAUCUAUCUUCAGGCAGCGGCGGGAUCACUUGUGUCCUCUUAGAGACCCUUUGAUCAACAUCAUAGAUGGUCUCUGACCCACCAGGUAUAUACCUUGUGUGCAACUCCAAGUCUACACAUGCAAAUCUUAACUGACGAAGACUAAGGGAACCUGCACGAAAAGUCCUUGCAGCAAGAAGCUUCAAAUAUACAUCUUCCGGGAGAGUCUCCCCAGUUACAUAGUGCUUUGCAAUGCCCAUCAAGGUUUCCCUGUGAUAACACCAAUUUUCCAUGAACUGUGAGGGCAAUUCAACAGCAUCCCACUCUAUUCCUCGAAUUCCAGCAACAAGACCCUCAUCUUGCUUGGUAAGCAUAUGCUGAAGGGCAUGACCAAAUUCGUGGAAGACAGUCUCAACCUCCCGAAAUGUCAUAAGGCUUGGUUUGUCUCCAACUGGUGGUGUUUGAUUGCACACCAUGUGGGCAAUAGGCAACCUUGGAGUAGUACCAUUGCGUGACAAAACCCGACUCCGACCAACUACCUCAUCCAUCCAUGCACCUCCUCUUUUCUCAGAUGGACGAGAGUAUGGAUCAAAAUAGAAGUAUGCAAUUGGACUACCAGAGGAAUCCUUCACACCAUAGAAUCUAACAUCAUUAUUCCAAACAGGAGCUAAACCAUCCGCUGGUUCAAUAUGAAUUCCAAAAAGUAUCUUUGCAAGGUUGAAAAGGCCAUCCAUAACCUUUGGCAAUGAAAAAUAUGGCCGUAGUUCUUCCUCAUUGAUUUCAUAUCUUGACUCACGAAGCCUUUCAGCCCAAAAGUUAAUAUCCCAGUGACUUAAAUCAUUUGCUUCUAUUGCAUCUUGAUUCUUGGCAAAAAUUUUAAGGUCCUCCAUAUCUUGCACUGCAGCAUCCCAGGAAGCUGUGCGCAGCUUUUCUAAGAGCUCUUCUGCCUUUUGAACAGUCGCCAUUUUUGUUGCCAUGCUUACCUCAGCAUAGUUGCUGUAAUUGAGAAGCUUAGCCUUUUCCUGUCUAAGCUUUAAUAUUUGAUCAAUAAUUGGUGUGUUAUCCAGAUCACCGCUUGAAGCACGAGUUACAUAAGCACGGUAGACUUCUUCACGCAAAGCACGGUUAUGAGCAUGUUGCAUGACAGACAUAAAACUUGGGGCAUCCAAUGUAAUUAUCCAUGGUCCAUUCUCAGCAGUUGCUUCUUUGUGCCCCUUGGAAAUUGCUGUUUGUGCAGCCAAUGAAAGUGCAGUAGCAGGCAACCCUUCAAUUUCUUUUUUGUCUGUAAUGAGUUUUUCAAAUUUCUUUGUGGCAUCCAAUACAUUCUCCCCAAACUUUUGCGAUAGCCUCUCCAGCUCCUGUUCAAUUUUGUUGAAUUCUACCCUUUUAUCAUCUUCAAGAGCAACACCAUUAAGAACUGCCUCCUUUAUUUGAGAUUCCACUAUACGUUUCUGAGCAUUACUUAGAGACUGCCAUUGGGAAGAUUCUUGGAUAGCCUUAAAUGCAUUGUAAAUUGGUUUACUUUGCCCCAACUUAAGCUGAAACUUGACCUUUUCGGGCUGAACUUCUUCAAUUGCAUCGCGGAGAUCAGGUGUAUCCUUAACAGACUUAAGAUGAUUGAUGACCCCCCAAACAAUAUUCAACUGAUCUACAAUCUUUUCCAAUGGCUCCACCAACUUUGGCCAUGAUGGUUCCACUGUUCUCUCCAAUUCCUCCAAAUCACUCUCAAGCUUCUUUAGCAGGGCACGUAUCCCAGGUCGAACAUGUUCAGCCUCAACAACAUCGAAGGGAGGGAACUCAUAAUCCUGCGUGAGAGGAUUGGAAUGGAAAGUCUCAUCAGGAGCAGCCAUUGAAGGUGGUGAGAGUGAAGAAUAACAAGGAGAGGAAUAGUGAAGAAAGACACAGAAAGCAGUGGAUUUGUGGAGAGAAUGGAGGCAGAAGGAGAAAGAAGAGGACAAGGGAGGGCAAUGAUGGGAUUUGAGGAAUUUUUUGGGGCCAAAAUGGCAACAAGGAGAGAGUUUAUGGUUGGUUGGAUUGAACGGAAGAGAGAAAG
rnacentral:misc_RNA from 1 species